rnacentral:misc_RNA from 1 species
GAACAACAAGGAUGAGAAUAAGGAAGGAGGAGCGGCAAGAGAAGUGAUCCAUGUAGGUUACUUUGCCGUUCUGCUUCUCUUUUUAUUAUUAGGGGUUUGGCUGUUUUGGCUUUAGAUGUUGUGGUAAUGAUGAUGCUGGUGCAUUGAGAUUGUAACGGAGGAGAACGCGGAGGAGGAGGAGAGGACAAUGCAGGGCCUGACGCACUGGAAGGAGGCAACAGUAGUAAGAGAUGAAUGGAGAAGGGUUUGUGAUUGAGAGCUCAACACCCAUAAACCAGGAAAAGGGCCUCUGGGAAGUAGCAGUGACAGUGAGGACAAUGAAUGACUAGAGAGAGACACAAAUUAGCUUUGAGAAUUGAGACAAUAGUGCUCUCUCUAGCCUUUGCUUGGCCCUCUCUCUCUUCACUGCAUCGGAGAUUAUAAAAAAUUAAUUCGUUCUUCCUUCCUCCUCGGCUCCUCCCCCGCACGAACACGGAUUAAUUAUUCUUCCAAC